UCAGCCUCCCAAAGUGCUUGGGGUUACAGGCAUGAUCCACUGUGCCUGGCUGAGUCUCUCUUCUAAUCUGGCAUGCCUCCCCAACCCCCCAGCUCAUCAUCUCACCUGCACCUGCUUCCUCUCUGGCCUGCCUGCCUCCCACCUCCUCUGGCCUUGGCUUCAUUGUACACAUCAACUCCAUGGACAGCUUUGAGCCCCUUCAAUGUGCCACGCCCUGUUCCUAUAAAACAAGGACAAAUGAGACACUGCCCUGGUCCUCGGAAAGCAGAGGAGUCCUGUGGUACACAGAAAGGCUUCACCCUCACCAUGCCAUGUGACCCACCCCUCUGUGGAACUCAGUUUCCCUAUUCUGUGAAGAAGUUUGGAACCAAAUGAUCUCCUAAGGUCUUCUCUGCAAACAUAUUCUAAGAUUCUGCUACUGGAAUCUAAGCUCCUUCUGGGCAGAGACUUUUCCUGAUUCAUCUUUGAUUAUAGCAGGUAGUGUGGAACUCUGUACUCUAUAGGAGUUUGCCAAGAGCUUGCUGAAUGAGUAAAUGAAUGAGUGAUAUCAGUGACUUAAUGGCUUCCCUUUGCCAACAAGCUAAGAACCUACCUAGAAGGCAUACAGAGCUCUUUACAGCCUCUGAUUCCAACCCACCUCAGUGUCCUCUGACCUGGAAGCUGCCUCCCAGAGCUGGAAUGGAGCACUUGGGAGCAUUUGAAGAGCUUCAUCCACCGGACAAACCUUCACUGAGAACCUAUUACACACCAGGGCCAGUGUUGCUGCUGGGAACAAUGAUGAACAAAACCUGUUGGUAGGCCAGGUGAGGAGACUGAGUCAUUUCCCCAAGGCCACACACUUAGAGUGACAGAGCUGGUUUGGACUUUCAAGCCCACACUGUGAAACGCCUUGCCAGACUGACAUGGGCACUGCCCCAGCAGAACCAGCACACUGGAGACAGGGGCUGUGGCAUCUCACCUGCCGCACCCUCAGCCAGGCCAAGACUGACAUGGAGGUGACACAGACCCGUAAGGACUGAAAGGCUAUGCCUGAGGGACAGCCAGCCAGCCAUCCAGGGAGGAGG